CGUCGACACUGAGACAGGAAAGAUACUAGGGAGCCCGAAGGAUGAAGGGUUCGGUUCUGAUGAACGAAGUCGCAAAGGAGCGCAGCAGGUGGUCGAGUUGGAACU
rnacentral:ribozyme from 1 species